AUUUCCUUUCUUUUCUUCUUGCUCUUUUCUUUUUUCUUCUUCCCUUCUCUCUGUGAUUUUGCUUCUGGGACACGCAAAACAAUGGCGGCAGAGCUGGAAUGUCAGUCACUCGAACCCAAACAAAAAAAAAAACGAAAAAAAAUAAAACAAACCGAACCUCCUCUGUUAAUCUCAAUCUACCAAACCAGAGAGAAAACUCGUAUAAAUUUUCACAGAACAAAAUCUCAAGAAAAAUAUAUAAAUGGCAUACUCUGCUUCUGUUACAGAGAAGAACAGAAGCAGAGACAAUACAUUGACAGAAAACAGAGAAAGAAAAACAGAAAUGGUAAGCAAGAAACAGAGACGAAGAACAAUGUCUUAUAUAAUCUCUCCGUUUGAGGUUUUUUUUUUUUUAAUUAAAUAAUUAUUAUUAUUUUGUAUCUUAAAAAUCC
rnacentral:lncRNA from 1 species